AUGGCACCUUCGUCGGGAAGAUUCGGCUGGCUAAUUCUAGACAGGGGGCGAGGGAUGGCUGUCGGGGCUCCACUGGAUCAACCCAGGCCCGCAUCGCCAAGAGGGACACCUUCGAGCGGGCGGCAGCGCCCCCUGCGCCCCGCUGUCCCUCCUCUUGGCGCGGCGGUGGCUGCUCGAGCCGCGAGGGGGCGCGCCGGGCCGCGGGUCGGAGCGGGCCCCUGCCCCUCGCCGCCUCCCCGGCCUGUCGUACCCGGAGGCCGGGCUCCAGACGCGGCGACUGGCCGCGAUCCCCUCCGUGGCGCCGCUGCCGGGCCCGCAGAGAACAGACCCCGGGCCCCGGGGAUGGACCUGUCGCCCUCGAACCCCCUUACGCACCUCCAGAAAAAAGCCUCGCGCCGCCUCCCAGCGCAGCGUCACCUCCAAGGAACAGCACUCGCCCCGCGGCUGGACGGCGGUGCCGAGUGGCCGCCGGUCCCCGCGUCUCUCCCGGAGCCUCCGACGAGCAGCCCCCUCCCCGCGGGCGCGCCCCGACGCGCGCACCCUGCAGCCCUCGGCGUCCAGCCCCCGCCGCCCGGCUGCCAUCAAGCCCGGGGCCAGACAGCGGCUCCCCACCUGCGGCCGCGGGGCCGAGCGCGGCCCCAGCCCCUCCCGGCGCCCCGCGACUCCGCCGGCCCCCGGCGCGCACUGACCACCCACCCGCUCUGCGACCCGCCGAGGCUGGCGGCCCGGCGCAGUUCUCGAAGGCAAACGAGGCUGGGUGCCCUCCAGGUCACCCUCGCCCACCCAUUUCCGGAGGAGACCCUAGCAGGGCGGGGUACGAGGGGCGGGGGCAGCGAGCGCGGGGCCCAUUGCACCGCGGCCGGCCGCGCCCCCUAUCGCGGCGCAGCGCUAGCCCCGCCCGGCGGGCGAGGGGUCGCUCCCCCGCCCCCGCGUGACGCACCUUUUUGGGCCGCUGCACUACGAACCCCUUUCGGGGCAACGCGGCGAUUCUCACCCGCGGCAGCAGCCUAA
rnacentral:lncRNA from 1 species